AAAUAAUCUGCUGAAAUGGUUUAAAAAUAGGUUUGAUACAUGACUCAACAAAUCUACUCCAAACCAUUUGUGUAAAACAUUUUUAAAAAAAUGUUUCCCCGUUUCCUUGACUGAUAACAUAUAUUAAACAUAGACCUGGUGAUCAUAACCUUCCACUGCUUCAUAAACUGAGAUGAUAAGUUUCUGAAAUCUUCAAAGCUGUGUUUGUUACCUAGACCUGAGAUCAUCAACAGGUACAAGAUAAUGUCAGAUGCUCAACUGAAGCCAAUGACGCACAAAGAAGGGG
rnacentral:lncRNA from 1 species